CUCAUGCACGAAACAGUGGGGAGCAAACAGGAUUAGAUACCAUGGUAGUUCAUGCACUUAUCGAUGCUGUUUAGUGGUUCGCGAUGUACUUCACGAGUCUCGUACACACUCUGUGCAGUCAGUCGCAGGGGGCGUACGCUCGCAAGAUUAAAAGUCAAAGGAAUUGUCGGGGAUACCCACAAGCGGUGGAUGAUGUGGCAGUAUUUGAUGCAACGCGAAAAACCUUACGUACCCUUGACAUGUCACUAACGAAGUAGAGAUACAUUAGGUGCUCAUAAGAGAAAGUGAACACAGGUGCUGCAUGGCGGUGGUCAGCUCGUGUCGUGAGAUGUUGGGUUAAGUCCCGCAUCGAGCGCCACCCUUGUCUUUAGGUUCAGGGCAUGAGCCCUUUUAAGAAAUUCCCCGUGACAACCCGGAGGAAGGGUGGGAUGACGUCAUGUCUUCCAGGCCGUUAUGUGUAGGUCUUCGCCCGUCAUACAAUGGUGCAUACAGAGGGUUUUCAACCCGCGAGGGGGAUAUAAUGUCAUAAAACGCUUUGUAGUCCGGAUGUUAGUCUGCAACUCGCUUUCGUGAACCGGGAAUAGGUAGUAAUCGCGGAUCAGAAUGUGGCUUAGAAUACGUUCCCGGGUCUUGUACGCACCGCCCGUCAUACCAUGGGAGUGGGUCUUGCCAGACACCCUUAGCCUAACCGCAAGGAGGGGGACGUGCAAGGCAGGGUUCAUGAGUGGAGUAAAGUCCUAACAAGG
rnacentral:rRNA from 1 species